rnacentral:rRNA from 1 species
ACGUAGGGAGCGAGCGUUGUCCGGAAUUACUGGGUGUAAAGGGAGCGUAGGCGGGAUGGCAAGUCAGAUGUGAAAACUAUGGGCUCAACCCAUAGACUGCAUUUGAAACUGCUGUUCUUGAGUGAGGUAGAGGUAAGCGGAAUUCCUGGUGUAGCGGUGAAAUGCGUAGAGAUCAGGAGGAACAUCGGUGGCGAAGGCGGCUUACUGGGCCUUUACUGACGCUGAGGCUCGAAAGCGUGGGGAGCAAACAG